UGUAGCAAUGCAUUCGUAUGUUGUGUGAAUUUCUCGUGUUAUCUUUAGUAUUGCUUCGGAUUCCUCUAUCCGACUGUAAAUUUUGGGAUUCUGGACUAGUUUGUGUUUGUUUUAGAAUCAAUGGAGCCUCCUAAUCUCAUUUCUAUGGCAUUGCAGGAUCUGCAUGGGAACCUUGAGACAGAACAACUCAAAGACGAGUGACAAAGAGCUGUUUCUUGAAUUAAGAGGGAAAUGAUGAGUUGUUACUACUAUGCUUUGUGGGCCAUGUUCCAUUUUACUGAGGGAUGAUGUUAUCUUGUUUUCUCAUCAAAGGCACAGGAUAAGUUGGUGAAGAUUGUAUGAGUUGUAAAGUCGUUGUUGCGAAUUUUCGUUCCAUCGCCUCCUUCUGUGUCGAUGUAGGUAUGGUGUUCCUUAUAGUUUCUUGAAGUUGUUGUAUUCAAAUUGUUGAUCUUGUAUAUCAAAAUUGGUGAGGAUACAUCCAAACAACAUUCUUUUUGUCAAUGUAUAUGGGGUUGUAUUUUUGCUUGUUU